rnacentral:rRNA from 1 species
AUUGAACGCUGGCGGCAUGCCUAACACAUGCAAGUCGAACGAACCCUUCGGUGUUAGUGGCGCACGGGUGCGUAACGCGUGGGGAUCUGCCCUUUGCUUCGGAAUAACAGUUAGAAAUGACUGCUAAUACCGGAUGAUGUCGAAAGACCAAAGAUUUAUCGGCAAAGGAUGAACCCGCGUAGGAUUAGCUAGUUGGUGGGGUAAAGGCCUACCAAGGCGACGAUCCUUAGCUGGUCUGAGAGGAUGAUCAGCCACACUGGGACUGAGACACGGCCCAGACUCCGACGGGAGGGAGCAGUGGGGAAUAUUGGACAAUGGGCGAAAGCCUGAUCCAGCAAUGCCGCGUGAGUGAUGAAGGCCUUAGGGUUGUAAAGCUCUUUUACCAGGGAUGAUAAUGACAGUACCUGGAGAAUAAGCUCCGGCUAACUCCGUGCCAGCAGCCGCCGUAAAAC